CCUACGGGAGGCAGCAGUGAGGAAUGUUGGUCAAUGGGCGGGAGCCUGAACCAGCCAAGCCGCGUGAGGGAAGAAGGUACAGCGUAUCGUAAACCUCUUUUGUCAGGGAACAAAGGCGGGGACUAGUCCCCGGAUGAGGGUACCUGAAGAAAACGCAUCGGCUAACUCCUUGCCAGCAGCGGCGGUAAUACGGAGGAUGAGAGCGUUAUCCGGCUUUAUUGGGUUUACAGGGUGCGCAGGCGGCCUGUUACGUCAGCGGUAAAAGCCUUGGGCUAAACCCCGGCGAGCCGGUGAAACUGGCGGGCUGGAGUGGGAGAGAAGUACGCGGAAUGCGCGGUGUAGCGGUGAAAUGCUU
rnacentral:rRNA from 1 species